UUUUACGCGUUAGGGAUAGCAGCGGCAUCCUUUUUUACUUGAAAAUGUAAAAAAGAUACAGCGAAUAGCCCGGUCAUUU
rnacentral:sRNA from 1 species